UGUAACUUUGUCGGUUACAUCGCAACCGUAUUGCUUGCCCGGGGUUCAACGACUGCAUUUUCAAGUCACUGACGUAUAUGCGAUUACGCAGGCAUAGUCCGAUUCACCUUUAAAUCACCGUGAAGAGCUUUUGAGCCUAGAUGGGUAUGAACACGAUUUUUGUUUUAUUUGCAUGGAAUUUGCUGUGGGUUUUGGAUUUUCUAAUCGAGGGGAUUGAGCGCAAUUGAAGAUGAAGACUGGUCCUACUAUAAGCAAAUGUAAAAUGCAAUGACCUGAAUUUAAUAUUUUGAUAUUUAUAAUUUGAAGAACUUAAUGUUACUAAGCCCAAGAAAACUUGAGUAGCGGAGAAACCUAAAUAACCGAUAAAAGAAGAAACGUAAAACCAAACAACAAAGGAAAUGUCCGGUGCCAAAUUGAACGCUGUAAAAUUUGUACUACUAAUAGAAAAUGAUGAUGAAUAAAUGCUGAAUUAUGUGUUGAA